UUCCGGUUGAUCCCGCCGGACCUGACUGCUAUCGGAUUGAUACUAAGCCAUGCGAGUCUUUGCAGUAAUGCAAGGCAUACGGCUCAGUAACACGUAGUCAACUUACCCUAUGGACGAGGAUAAUCUCGGGAAACUGAGCACAAUACUCGAUAGAUCAUAAUGCCUGGAAUGGUUUAUGGUUGAAAUGAUUCGUCGCCAUAGGAUGGGACUGCGGCCUAUCAGCUUGUUGGUGAGGUAAUGGCCCACCAAGGCGAUUACAGGUACGGGCUCUGAGAGGAGAAGCCCGGAGAUGGGUACUGAGACAAGGACCCAGGCCCUAUGGGGCGCAGCAGGCGAGAAAACUUUGCAAUGUGCGAAAGCACGACAAGGUUAAUCCGAGUGAUUUCUGCUAAAGAAAUCUUUUGCAAGUCAUAAAACCACUAGUGAAUAAGGGGUGGGCAAGUUCUGGUGUCAGCCGCCGCGGUAAAACCAGCACCUCAAGUGGUCAGGAGGAUUAUUGGGCCUAAAGCAUCCGUAGCCGGCUCUGUAAGUUUUCGGUUAAAUCCAUGUGCUCAACGCAUGGGCUGCCGAAAAUACUGCAUAGCUAGGGAGUGGGAGAGGUAGACGGUACUCGGUAGGAAGGGGUAAAAUCCUUUGAUCUAUCGAUGACCACCUGUGGCGAAGGCGGUCUACCAGAACACGUUCGACGGUGAGGGAUGAAAGCUGGGGGAGCAAACCGGAUUAGAUACCCGGGUAGUCCCAGCCGUAAACGAUGCAGACUCGAUGAUGCAUUGGCAUAUAGCCAGUGCAGUGUCGCAGGGAAGCCGUUAAGUCUGCCGCCUGGGAAGUACGUACGCAAGUAUGAAACUUAAAGGAAUUGGCGGGGGAGCACCACAAGGGGUGAAGCCUGCGGUUCAAUUGGAAUCAACGCCGGA
rnacentral:rRNA from 1 species